UACGGGGGGGGCAAGCGUUGUCCGGAAUUAUUGGGCGUAAAGGGCUCGUAGGCGGCCAAUUAAGUCGGACGUGAAAUCCCCAGGCUCAACCUGGGAACUGCGUCUGAUACUGGAUGGCUUGAAUCCGGGAGAGGGAUGCAGAAUUCCAGGUGUAGCGGUGAAAUGCGUAGAUAUCUGGAGGAAUACCGGUGGCGAAGGCGGCAUCCUGGACCGGCAUUGACGCUGAUGAGCGAAAGCUAGGGGAGCAAACGGG
rnacentral:rRNA from 1 species